AAAACUUAAGAAUAAACUCUUCUAUCAUGCAGUCGAGCGAAUGGAUUAAGAGCUUGCUCUUAUGAAGUUAGCGGCGGACGGGUGAGUAACACGUGGGUAACCUGCCCAUAAGACUGGGAUAACUCCGGGAAACCGGGGCUAAUACCGGAUAACAUUUUGAACCGCAUGGUUCGAAAUUGAAAGGCGGCUUCGGCUGUCACUUAUGGAUGGACCCGCGUCGCAUUAGCUAGUUGGUGAGGUAACGGCUCACCAAGGCAACGAUGCGUAGCCGACCUGAGAGGGUGAUCGGCCACACUGGGACUGAGACACGGCCCAGACUCCUACGGGAGGCAGCAGUAGGGAAUCUUCCGCAAUGGACGAAAGUCUGACGGAGCAACGCCGCGUGAGUGAUGAAGGCUUUCGGGUCGUAAAACUCUGUUGUUAGGGAAGAACAAGUGCUAGUUGAAUAAGCUGGCACCUUGACGGAACCUAACCAGAAAGCCACGGCUAACUACGUGCCAGCAGCCGCGGUAAUACGUAGGUGGCAAGCGUUAUCCGGAAUUAUUGGGCGUAAAGCGCGCGCAGGUGGUUUCUUAAGUCUGAUGUGAAAGCCCACGGCUCAACCGUGGAGGGUCCAUUGGAAAACUGGGAGACUUGAGUGC
rnacentral:rRNA from 1 species